rnacentral:rRNA from 1 species
GAUGAACGCUAGCGGCAGGCCUAAUACAUGCAAGUCGAACGGUGUCCUCGGACAUAGUGGCGCACGGGUGCGUAACACGUAUGCAACCUACCUUACAUUGGGGGAUAGCCUUUCGAAAGGGAGAUUAAUACCGCAUAAGACAGUAGCUGGGCAUCCAGCAGCUGUUAAAGAUUUAUCGAUGUAAGCUGGGCAUGCGUCCAAUUAGCUAGUUGGUGAGGUAACGGCUCACCAAGGCAAUGAUUGGUAGGGGAACUGAGAGGUCAAUCCCCCACACUGGCACUGAGAUACGGGCCAGACUCCUACGGGAGGCAGCAGUAGGGAAUAUUGGGCAAUGGACGCAAGUCUGACCCAGCCAUGCCGCGUGCAGGAUGAAGGCGUUAUGCGUUGUAAACUGCCUUUAUACAGGAAGAAACGACUCUUGCGAGAGGCAUUGACGGUACUGUAUGAAUAAGCACCGGCUAACUCCGUGCCAGCAGCCGCCGCAGUAA